GCCUCAUUUGCUCAGUGGUUAGAGCAGUAGUUUUGUAAACCAGUGGUCCAGAGUUCGAUUCUCUGAUGGGGCU